rnacentral:rRNA from 1 species
GUCGGGAAUAUUGCCCAAUGCGCGAAAGCGUGAGGCAGCAACGCCGCGUGCGCGAUGAAGGCCUUCGGGUCGUAAAGCGCUUUUCGGUGGGAUGAGGACGGACAGUACCACCGGAAUAAGGUACGGCUAACUACGUGCCAGCAGCCGCGGUAAAACGUAGGUACCGAGCGUUAUCCGGAUUUACUGGGCGUAAAGCGCGUUCAGGCGGUCAGGCAAGUCGGGCAUGAAAUCUCUCGGCUCAACCGGGAGGGGUUGUCCGAUACUGGCUGGCUUGAGGGCAGUAGAGGGUGGUGGAAUUCCGGGUGUAGUGGUGAAAUGCGUAGAUAUCCGGAGGAACACCAGUGGCGAAGGCGGCCACCUGGACUGUACCUGACGCUCAAACGCGAAAGCUAGGGGAGCGAACGGGAUUAGAUACCCCAGUAGUCC